rnacentral:rRNA from 1 species
UCCAGACUCCUACGGGAGGCAGCAGUGAGGAAUAUUGGUCAAUGGCCGUAAGGCUGAACCAGCCAAGUAGCGUGAGGGAAGACUGCCCUAUGGGUUGUAAACCUCUUUUAUGCGGGGAUAAAGGUGUCCACGUGUGGAUGUUUGCAGGUACCGCAUGAAUAAGGACCGGCUAAUUCCGUGCCAGCAGCCGCGGUAAUACGGAAGGUCCGGGCGUUAUCCGGAUUUAUUGGGUUUAAAGGGUGCGCAGGCGGAAGAUCAAGUCAGCGGUAAAAUUGAGAGGCUCAACCUCUUCGAGCCGUUGAAACUGGUUUUCUUGAGUGAGUGAGAAGUAUGCGGAAUGCGUGGUGUAGCGGUGAAAUGCAUGGAUAUCACGCAGAACUCCGAUUGCGAAGGCAGCAUACCGGUGCUCAACUGACGCUCAUGCACGAAAGUGUGGGUAUCGAACAGGAUUAGAUACCCUAGUA